AAAAAGUUUUAUCUACGCUUAUUAAUUUGAUUUAAAAUAAUUUUACAUGUAAAUUUUUUAACCUAAAGGGUUGGAAUGCAGUAAUUAAAUUUAUUUAUUAAGUUUUCUUAGAAUUAGGUAUUUUUAAAAGUACUAACAAAUCUUGUGCCAGCAGUUGCGGUUACACAAGGAGUACAAUUAAAUUGGAUCAGAAGAUAAUUAUUUUUAAGGGAUAUUCAAAUAAGGGCUUAUAAGGUGAAAUUUGAAGCUUUUUUCAGUAUACGUUUAAAAAGAUUUUAUUAAAUUUUCUUAUUAAACUAGGAUUAGAUACCCUAUUAUUUAAAAUGUAAAUAGAAUACUUUUGAGUAGUACUAGGGUACUUGAAAUUUAAAUGAUUUGGCGGUGUUUUAGUCUAUUCAGAGGAACCUGUCCUGUAAUUGAUAUUCCACAAUUUAUUAUACUUAGUUUUUAAGCUUGUAUAUCGUCGUUAUUUGAACAUUUCUUAAGAAAAAAAUGUUCAUUUUUUGGAAUUGCAAUGUAAGUCAGAUCAAGAUGCAGUUCAUGGCUAAGGAGUGAUGGGUUACAUUAAAUAUAUUUGUUGAAUUAUUUUUUGAGAGGAAGAUACGAAACUGGAUUUGAUAGUAAAUAUAAUUAGAUUAUUAUGUAGAUUUAAGCUCUAGAAUAUGCACAUAUCGCCCGUCGCUCCAAUUACAAAAUUGGAUAAGUCGUAACAAAGUAGGUGUAUCGGAAGGUGUACCUGGAGUUA
rnacentral:ncRNA from 1 species